ACACCACCUGGUACAGGGAACGCCGGAUCUGCUGUUGCGUUGGCAGAUUGGCCGAUCCUGUGGCGAGCCAAAGUAACGUUUGGCCGUCGCAACGCGCGCAAAGGGGUGAGCUGACUAUUGUCGGCUUAAGGUACGUGCUAAUCCCUUGGGUAACCAAGCUCUGACGAUAAGACCCGACAGGUCAAGGCGUUAGGGGGCAGCCAGACUGAGGUCUGUCUGCUGGUAUACAGUUCAUGAAUGAACUGUUUAAUGCUGUGAUGCCCUUAGAUGUUCUGGGCCGCACGCGCGCUACACUGACAGAGCCAACGAGUUCUUCACCUUGACCGAAAGGUCUG
rnacentral:rRNA from 1 species